rnacentral:rRNA from 1 species
CCUACGGGUGGCUGCAGUAAGGAAUAUUGGUCAAUGCCCGGAAGGGUGAACCAGCCAUGCCGCGUGCAGGAUGACGGCCCUAUGGGUUGUAAACUGCUUUUGGAUAGGAAGAAUGGAUUGUAUUGAUAUGAUUUUGACGGUACUAUCAGAAUAAGCACCGGCUAACUCCGUGCCAGCAGCCGCGGUAAUACGGAGGGUGCGAGCGUUAUCCGGAAUUACUGGGUUUAAAGGGGCUGUAGACGGCGGGGGAGAAAGCAUGGAGCUUAACUGCAUAAUUGCCUUCGAUACUGUAAAGCUGGAAUUAAGUUGAGGUUGGCGGAAUGUGACAUGUAGCGGUGAAAUGCAUAGAUAUGUCAUAGAACACCGAUUGCGUAGGCAGCUGACUGAGCUUAAAUUGACGCUGAGGCACGAAAGCGUGGGGAGCGAACAGGAUUAGAUACCCUAGUAGUC